GACGAACGCUGGCGGCGUGCUUAACACAUGCAAGUCGAACGGUGAAGCCCUUCGGGGUGGAUCAGUGGCGAACGGGUGAGUAACACGUGAGCAACCUGCCCCUGGCUCUGGGACAACCACUGGAAACGGUGGCUAAUACCGGAUACGACCCGCCUCGGCAUCGAGUGUGGGUGGAAAGUUUUUCGGCUGGGGAUGGGCUCGCGGCCUAUCAGCUUGUUGGUGAGGUGAAGGCUCACCAAGGCGACGACGGGUAGCCGGCCUGAGAGGGCGACCGGCCACACUGGGACUGAGACACGGCCCAGACUCCUACGGGAGGCAGCAGUGGGGAAUAUUGCACAAUGGGCGAAAGCCUGAUGCAGCGACGCCGCGUGAGGGAUGACGGCCUUCGGGUUGUAAACCCCUUUCAGCUCCUAAGAAGCGAAAGUGACGGUAGGAGCAGAAGAAGCACCGGCUAACUACGUG
rnacentral:rRNA from 1 species